rnacentral:rRNA from 1 species
UACGUAGGUGGCAAGCGUUGUCCGGAAUUAUUGGGCGUAAAGCGCGCGCAGGCGGUCCUUAAGUCUGCUGUGAAAGCCCACGGCUCAACCGUGGAGGGUCAUUGGAAACUGGGGGACUUGAGUGUAGGAGAGAAGAGUGGAAUUCCACGUGUAGCGGUGAAAUGCGUAGAGAUGUGGAGGAACACCAGUGGCGAAGGCGACUCUUUGGCCUGUAACUGACGCUGAGGCGCGAAAGCGUGGGGAGCAAACAGG